rnacentral:rRNA from 1 species
UACGGAGGGUGCAAGCGUUAUCCGGAUUCACUGGGUUAAGGUGCGUAGGUGGGCAAGUAAGUCAGUGGUGAAAUCUCCGGGCUUAACCCGGAAACUGCCAUUGAUACUAUUGUCUUGAAUACUGUGGAGGUCAGCGGAAUAUGUCAUGUAGCGGUGAAAUGCUUAGAUAUGACAUAGAACACCAAUUGCGAAGGCAGCUGGCUACACAAAUAUUGACACUGAGCACGAAAGCGUGGGGAGUCAAACAGG